UACGAAGGGGGCUAGCGUUGUUCGGAUUUACUGGGCGUAAAGCGCACGUAGGCGGAUAUUUAAGUCAGGGGUGAAAUCCCGGGGCUCAACCCCGGAACUGCCUUUGAUACUGGGUAUCUCGAGUCCGAGAGAGGUGAGUGGAAUUCCGAGUGUAGAGGUGAAAUUCGUAGAUAUUCGGAGGAACACCAGUGGCGAAGGCGGCUCGCUGGCUCGGUACUGACGCUGAGGUGCGAAAGCGUGGGGAGCAAACAGG
rnacentral:rRNA from 1 species